CUUCACCCAGAGGAAGCUCGGCUGAAGUGGAGGAUAGCUCUCCAUUCCUAUAAAGCUCUGGGUUUUCUGUAUUGGGCCGACAAGAUCUAUAACAUCCUUAUACCCAAUGCCCAGCACCCUUCAGCCAGGACAGCAAGCCCAUGCUAGAGAAGUAAGCACACCCUGAUCUGGGUAUCAGGUCUAUUGUUAAUUUCUUGUCACUGACUUCUUCUUAGACUAGCAAAGGACUUUCUUCUCCAUCCUUCUGUGUCUACAAGUAGGGCUUGGAGUCAGGCCAUGUUGUACCUGCAGGCAUGUGGUUGAAUAUCUACCCUAAAAAUCUGGUCGAUUCCCACCCACCACUGCUUUAACUUGUGAAUCGUUCUUCUCUAAAUGUGGACCAAGAAGGAGCUCAGUACAUGGGAUAGUGAAGGGGUCCAGGAAACAAGAAACUGGGUGGGGCGUGUUUAUCUCACUUCUCAUCAGUUGCAUAGACCCAAUGACAAUUUAAAAUCAAAGGGAAUUUGGAGGCUAGUUUAACUCUUGAGAAGAACUUUCCAGAAGAUGGGGUAUGAGAGAUUCCUGCUUGUUUCUGUGAUGUCCUCGCUCAGUUUGGGGAUCCUCGACUCCAUGUCACUUGGUUCUGCUUAUACAUGUCCAUUCAACAAUUCUGGUAAUCUCUGGCCUCUAAACUUUGAUCUGCCAGAGAACUGCUCUUCUGAACCUUUACUGACUACUGACUCUGGCACCUGGCACUAUGCUGGCACACAGUGUGUCCUUGCUUCUUGGAUGGAUCAUAGCACGUUCCACCCCAGCUGGACAGCACGGUGGGCAGGGAGGUGCCUGGCUGUCCUCCACCUAGCUGGCCAGGAAACCAGCUCAGAGAGCUCUGAUGGAGUGGCUCCUGAUCACACAGGGUCAGAAAUGCAGUCUUGGCAUAUGCAACUGCAGUAUAACCCCAACUUGGAGGAGACCGAGUAUGUGAAUCACCGAAUGUAUAGAACAGGUGGAAAGGAAAGGCCAGUGAUUUGGGCAACAGAAGGCCAUCUGAGUCAUAGCAACUCUCGGUUCAGAACCUUAAGGCCAUACAGAAAGCUGGGGCCGGAUCGUUGGAAGAGCCCGCAGACCACUGAAUGACAAAGUCAACUGGGGACGUGCAGAAGCGAGAAGAAAUCACCUCUGGGACUAGAAUGUAAUUCAGUGAAAAAGCAGGACUCUUUUCUUUCCCUGGCAAGUCUGAUUUACCUUCAACUUUGUGGGCGUC
rnacentral:lncRNA from 1 species